rnacentral:rRNA from 1 species
UCUGGUAAUGAUGGCAGAGAGGCCACACCCGUUCCCAUACCGAACACGGAAGUUAAGCUCUUCAGCGCCGA